CUUGAACUAUACCUGGAUCAUGGGACCUACAGAAGGCAUUCUCACUGAAAGACUUGAAGAUGUCCUGAGCUGUUGUGCAGAUUCAUGAGACAGUCCCCCAUCGAAGAGAAGAUACAUGAAAUCCAUCAUACAUCUACUUCUCUGAGAGAGGGAGAGGGAACAGCUCUGGGUAUUCUAUUAAGAUUCUAUGAAAUGGCAGCUCCAUUGUAUCAUCACUGUUAAUAAAGAGGCUUGGGUGAAACCUGUGUCCGUCCUGAGAAACCAUCCAAAUGCUGAAAACUCUUGAUGUA